rnacentral:rRNA from 1 species
UACGAAGGGGGGCUAGCGUUGUUCGGAUUUACUGGGCGUAAAGCGCACGUAGGCGGAUCGAUCAGUCAGGGGGUGAAAUCCCAGAGCUCAACUCUGGAACUGCCUUUUGAUACUGUCGAUCUGGAGUAUGGAAGAGGUGAGUGGAAUUCCGAGUGUAGAGGUGAAAUUCGUAGAUAUUCGGAGGAACACCAGUGGCGAAGGCGGCUCACUGGUCCAUUACUGACGCUGAGGUGCGAAAGCGUGGGGGAGCAAACAGG